CACAAAAGUUGGACACAGCAUUGGCUCUGUGAGACCAACAAGGAGAUAUCUCUGGGAACAGCCCCAAGGCCUGGGUGUCUCAGGGAUCCUGGUCAUGGAGUGUGGUGUGUGCAUGCAGAGAAGCUGCAAAGAAUAGGGGAGCUCCCUACCAAGACAC